AAUCCAUAGGUUAAUGAGGCGAACCGGGGGAACUGAAACAUCUAAGUACCCCGAGGAAAAGAAAUCAACCGAGAUUCCCCCAGUAGCGGCGAGCGAACGGGGAGGAGCCCAGAGCCUGAAUCAGCAUGUGUGUUAGUGGAAGCGUCUGGAAAGGCGCGCGAUACAGGGUGACAGCCCCGUACACAAAAGCGCAUGUGCUGUGAGCUCGAUGAGUAGGGCGGGACACGUGGUAUCCUGUCUGAAUAUGGGGGGACCAUCCUCCAAGGCUAAAUACUCCUGACUGACCGAUAGUGAACCAGUACCG
rnacentral:rRNA from 1 species